CGUGUAGGCGGGCCUUCAAGUCGGAUGUGAAAACCGGUGGCUUAACCACCGGCCUGCAUUCGAUACUGUUGGUCUUGAGUACGAGAGAGGAAAGCGGAAUUCCAGGUGUAGCGGUGAAAUGCGUAGAUAUCUGGAAGAACACCAGUAGCGAAGGCGGCUUUCUGGCUCGAUACUGACGCUGAAGCGCGAAGGCUAGGGGAGCAAACA
rnacentral:rRNA from 1 species